rnacentral:lncRNA from 1 species
ACACCAUAGUCUGUAUUCUUUGCUACUCAAGUAUCAGUUCACUGGUUAUCUUCUCAGUUUCCAAAUGACUUCUGUGUAACAAUAAUAGUACUUCUCUAGAGAUUUACAGAAAUUGUUGGAUUUGUCUUCUUAGGUGAAGACUGAUUUAUUUUUAUUUUUAUAUUUUAUUCUAUUUCUUUUAAUCUGAAUGAUUUGUGGUGCAUGUCUUGUUUUGAGGCAGAAGAAAUAUCAUAACUGUCUCACCUGUGCCAGUGAAUGCUUUUUCAGAAAGGAAUGUCUGAGCACUAACCAUUUAUUUUAUUAAAGCUCUUCAUGGAUUAUUUAUGGGAUAGGAAGUUGUCAGGUAGGAUCAUGAACCUUAUUGCAAACAUUGUUAAUGGAUCUCAUGACAGCAUUGUUAAAAAAAAAUAAAAAAAUAAAAAAUAUAUAAAAAAAAUAGGAACCUGUACAGCUGUAGAAAGUCAGUAUAGCUCGGGUUACAAAAUGUUAAUAAUUAGAUGUUUAUUUUAAUCACUAGAUACAUUUUGGACACUAGAUACACUUUGGACAAAAAAAAAAAAAAAAAAAAAAGCUGUCUGGAAAACCCAUGGAUACUUCCGCAGCACUGUAGCUAGUAUAGCUGGGAUAUGCUAAAGAGAUUUAACCUCCAAGCUGGUAUGAUUACAGCAAACACCCACAGGGAAGAGGCAAGUGUCCUAGUUCUCCAUUUGCUUGAUGCAAAGUUGAAACAGGUCUCAAGCCUAAACCUUCAUCACAACUUGGUCCUCAAAUUUUGUAGAAGAUUAUACUACACUGAGACCUUGCUUCUUCCCAGCCAGCCUAAACAACUCUGCACAGUACUUCCACACCACUCCCCAGAUUGUGCCUACAUGGGUGACUGUAAACUGCUGCAGCUUUGUAUCCUACCCAGAGCUUUCUCUGUGUGUAAUUUACAGCUCACAGUCUGGAGAAAAUUCUCCUCUUGAUAUCUGGACCAAAAUAACUGCCCUCCCUGAUGCCCC